CGGUCUCAUCACAUUGAAACACAUGUUCUCGAACGAUCAUCGAAGUUAAGCAACGUCGAAACUUGUCAGUACCUGAAUGGGUGACUGCUUGGGAAUACCAGGUGCUGUU